GCCGGUGUGGCGAAAUGGCAGACGCACAGGACUUAAAAUCCUGGGAUCUUAAAAAAUCGUGUCGGUUCGAGUCCGACCACCGGCACCA
rnacentral:tRNA from 1 species